rnacentral:rRNA from 1 species
GAUGAACGCUAGCGGCAGGCUUAACACAUGCAAGUCGAGGGGUAAGUCAUUUCGGUGACUGAGACCGGCGCACGGGUGCGUAACGCGUAUGCAAUCUACCUUUUACAGGGGGAUAGCCCAGAGAAAUUUGGAUUAAUACCACAUAGUAUAUUUUAGUGGCAUCACGAGAUUAUUGAAGUUCCAACGGUAAAAGAUGAGCAUGCGUCCUAUUAGCUGGAGGGUAAGGUAACGGCUUACCAUGGCUACGAUAGGUAGGGGUCCUGAGAGGGAGAUCCCCCACGCUGGUACUGAGACACGGACCAGACUCCUACGGGAGGCAGCAGUGAGGAAUAUUGGACAAUGGGCGCAAGCAUGAUCCAGCCAUGCCGCGUGCAGGAAGACGGUCCUAUGGAUUGUAAACUGCUUUUGUACGGGAAGAAACACUCCUACGUGUAGGAGCUUGACGGUACCGUAAGAAUAAGGAUCGGCUAACUCCGUGCCAGCCGCCGCAGUAAUAC